AGUGGCGAACGGGUGAGUAACACAUCGGAACGUGUCCAGUUGUGGGGGAUAACCAGUCGAAAGACGGGCUAAUACCGCAUGAUGGCGACCAAAGCGGCGCGAUUGGAGCGGCCGAUGUCCGAUUAGCUAGUUGGUGGGGUAAAGGCCUACCAAGGCGACGAUCGGUAGCUGGUCUGAGAGGAUGAUCAGGCGCACUGGGACUGAUACACGGCCCAGACUCCUACGGGAGGCAGCAGUGGGGAAUUUUGGACAAUGGGGGCAACCCUGAUCCAGCCAUGCCGCGUGAGUGAAGAAGGCCUUCGGGUUGUAAAGCUCUUUCGGUGGGAACGAAUGACGGUACUCACAGAAGAAGCACCGGCUAACUACGUGCCAGCAGCCGCGGUAAUACGUAGGGUGCGAGCGUUAAUCGGAAUUACUGGGCGUAAAGCGUGCGCAGGCGGUUACUUAAGUCAGGUGUGAAAGCCCUGGGCUUAACCUAGGAAUUGCGCUUGAGAC
rnacentral:rRNA from 1 species